rnacentral:snoRNA from 1 species
UGCACUUAUGUAUGUUUUUGUUUAACUUGUGGACAAAGACUUACGGAUAGGUGCAAAAAAUAAAUACUCUUUUGCAACCCAGAACUCAUUGUUCAGUAUGAGAAAAAAAAAAAUACU